rnacentral:rRNA from 1 species
ACAAACGUGUAAGUAACUGUGCACGUCUUGACGGUACCUAAUCAGAAAGCCACGGCUAACUACGUGCCAGCAGCCGCGGUAAUACGUAGGUGGCAAGCGUUAUCCGGAAUUAUUGGGCGUAAAGCGCGCGUAGGCGGUUUUUUAAGUCUGAUGUGAAAGCCCACGGCUCAACCGUGGAGGGUCAUUGGAAACUGGAAAAC